rnacentral:lncRNA from 1 species
AAUAUACUAAAAAGAAAUCGCGCAAUCAAAUUGACGUGGUAACGAUUUUAAGAAUACUUCAACACAAUGCAGGUGACUUAUUCGUCCCUUUGUUGUCAAAUUGAACAGAGACCCUCACCGCGGAGUAUUUAAAAUCGACUAAAAUUCCCAGCACAGGAGCCGGCAACAACGGGAUAGGCAUCAACCGACUGUAGCAAAAGCACUGAAAAAAAAACAGCGAGACUAAAAAAUUCAGUCGGCCAUCUUUGCCUGGCAUGACGCGUCAAAAAGUCAUGCCAAACAAAGAUGGCCGACUGAAUUUGGAAAAUGAAAUGAAAAUCAUCUAUAGUAGAAUCGCUUGAAGCAAUGAAACGACAACGGGUAUCGUACGCGCAGAUCUUCACCAGAUCGUUUCAGACCGCUCUCCUCUUAAAAUGAACCUGAAAAGUAUACGAAUCGUGUUAUUGGUUUUCACGUUUCUGAUCGCAGAAAUCAAGGCCUGGAACCCUCACAACUGGUUGCCUCAAGGCCCACCCCCGCAGAUCGGGGAGUUUGCCAUGCGGCGGCACAAUUGGAUGACGAACGUGAGAAAAAAUGCCGAGCGCAUGGACAAAUGCGCCGAGUCGGCCUUUUGGUGCGAGUGGUUCGCGACCCGAGCCCAAAAGAAAAGGAAGAUGGCCGCCGACAGAUCCUGUUUUGAGGCCUUCGAGAUGAUGAAGGAGCUCCUCGAUUCCCGUCAACUGGGCGAGUGCGCCUUGGUCGUCGACGCCUGGUGCCGAUGGCAUGAAGGCCUUUAUCAGUGCACCGCCGUUGCUGGCAACCAGAUAUUCUCCAUCCACGACUGCUUUAACCAGCUACCUUAAGAACAACCUGGAUCAGUUUUAGACGGGGGCUAAAGGAUACAUUUCCCUUUUUACCCGAAAAACCACGUUUCACGAUUUUGUUCUAUUCUUCUCUUUUUUAUCGAUGUAUACUUUUGGCUGCCAAAUUUGAAAAUGGCCUUGGUUUUUUUCCUAUUGGAUUUUCGCCGUAAACUCCGUUUGUAAGGAAAAUCAGUGGGUGUAUAUAAGAAUGAACCAUCACUGGGGCCAUUUUUGGAUUCUGCGCUGAAAAUUACUCACAACUCAAUUAUUACACAAAUAUAUACCAAUAAGGAUCUUAAUGUUGCCCUACUUGUAUUAUUUCGCUUAAAUAACUAUUAUUUGGUCAAAAUUGCCCAAAA